rnacentral:rRNA from 1 species
UACGUAGGGUGCAAGCGUUGUCCGGAAUUAUUGGGCGUAAAGAGCUCGUAGGCGGUUUGUUGCGUCGGCUGUGAAAUCCCGAGGCUCAACCUCGGGUCUGCAGUCGAUACGAGCAAACUAGAGUGUUGCAGGGGAGACUGGAAUUCCUGGUGUAGCGGUGAAAUGCGCAGAUAUCAGGAGGAACACCGGUGGCGAAGGCGAGUCUCUGGACAUUUCCUGACGCUGAGGCACGAAAGCCAGGGGAGCAAACGGG